rnacentral:rRNA from 1 species
GACGAACGCUGGCGGCGUGCCUAAUACAUGCAAGUAGAACGCUGAAGGAGGAGCUUGCUUCUCCGGAUGAGUUGCGAACGGGUGAGUAACGCGUAGGUAACCUGCCUGGUAGCGGGGGAUAACUAUUGGAAACGAUAGCUAAUACCGCAUAAGAGUAGAUGUCGCAUGACAUUUGCUUAAAAGGUGCAACUGCACCACUACCAGAUGGACCUGCGUUGUAUUAGCUAGUUGGUGAGGUAACGGCUCACCAAGGCAACGAUACAUAGCCGACCUGAGAGGGUGAGCGGCCACACUGGGACUGAGACACGGCCCAGACGCCUACGGGAGGCAGCAGUAGGGAUACGUGGGCAAGAGGCGGAAGACAGACCGAGCAACGCGGCGGGAGGGAAGAAGGUUGUCGGGUGGGAAAGGUCGGUUGUAAGGGAAGAACGAGUGUGAGAGUGGAAAGUUCAGACUGUGACGGUAUCUGACCAGAAAGCGACGGCUAACUACGUG